rnacentral:snRNA from 1 species
GUGCUCGCUUCGGCGGCACAUAUACUAAGAUUGGAACGAUACAGAGAAGAUUAGCACGGCC